CAGUUCAGACUGCAGGCUGCAACUCGCCUGCACGAAGUCGGAAUUGCUAGUAAUCGCGAAUCAGAAUGUCGCGGUGAAUACGUUCCCGGGUCUUGUACACACCGCCCGUCACACCAUGGGAGUCAGUAACGCCCGAAGUCAGUGACCCAACCAAUUAGGAGGGGAGCUGCCGAAGGCGGGACCGAUAACUGGGGUGAAGUCGUAACAAGGUACC
rnacentral:rRNA from 1 species